AGAGUUGAUCAUGGCUCGAGGACGAACGCUGGCGGCGUGCCUAACACAUGCAAGUCGAGCGGGGACAUUGCGACGGAGGCGAAGUACUCGUACGGAGUCAAAGAUGUAAUGUUCUAGCGGCGGACGGGUGAGUAACGCGUGAGCAACCUGUCCCUUACAGGGGGAUAACACAGCGAAAGUUGUACUAAUACCGCAUAAGACCACAGGAUGACAUCGUCCAGGGGUCAAAGGAGCAAUCCGGUAAGGGGUGGGCUCGCGUCCGAUUAGAUAGUUGGUGAGGUAACGGCCCACCAAGUCGACGAUCGGUAGCCGACCUGAGAGGGUGAUCGGCCACAUUGGGACUGAGACACGGCCCAAACUCCUACGGGAGGCAGCAGUGGGGAAUAUUGGGCAAUGGGGGAAACCCUGACCCAGCAACGCCGCGUGAGGGAAGAAGGUUUUCGGAUCGUAAACCUCUGUCCCAGGUGAAGAGGAAGAGACGGUAGCCUGGGAGGAAGCCCUGGCUAACUACGUGCCAGCCGCUGC
rnacentral:rRNA from 1 species